CAGGAGAUGAAGCUGGUUGGAGUAAGUUACAAACAGAAGCAUGGGAUGACUAGAUGAACAUUUCAAAAACAGCAUUCUGCCUGCAGGGAGCAAGAGUAGAAGAAUACCUGGUGGCAACCUAACAGAUACAUCUCAUGACUUCAUACUAUGAAUUCCAGCCUGAGUUCUGAACCUGGAGAGAUCCCUAAUAGGUCUACUCUCUUAAUACUCACUGACAGGUCAUCUCCCCCACUUAAAAAUCUUCAAAGCACCCCAACACCCACUGACCCUCACCAUCUCCAACCCACUGCCUUGAGAUAAAAAUCCAAGCUUCUAAAAGAGAGCUUUCGAGAUUUAACAAGAUCAGUGAGACUCUGACUGAUACAUUAGCUGGUUCCAUUUCUGCAUGAGCAGGUGGCUCAGGAUCCCGCAGUACCUGAUCUACUUCAUCACUGCCUCUCCCUCAACCACACACCUGCGGACCCCUCAGGCUUCCCUGUAAGUAGUUGGAAGAAACUAAGUUUUGUCUAACUAACGCUAACUAACACUGUGGGCUUGGCCCACUGCUAGGUCUGCACAGCAUCCCACACCAGCCAAAAGCGGACUGCCCUGUCACUGCAACCUCUCAGGGCCAGGCCCGAAAGACAGGACU